UUGAAGAUAAGGUCCCUGAUUGCAAUACUCACAAGGUGGUUUUUAAGAAAUAUUGGAUUGGCUGAAGGUUCUGGAGAGAGUGCAGAGUAAUAUGUAUUGUCUGGCUGAGCUUCUCUCUGCGAUCUAAAGCUACAGGGGAGGAGAAAAGGUCUAAAGAGAAAGGAAAGCCCACUCCUUAGGAUAGUAAAGAAGAGGUUCAUUUUCACUUCACAUUUUCCCUAAUUUUUCUGCGGUAAAUCAUUUUUGUGUUUGUGGGUGAAUUUGUUUUGUAGUUAUUUAAUUGAGACUGUUGCUCACAAGCCCAACAAUGAUAUUGCCUUGGCUCUCUUUCAUGGUGAUCUGGAACAAGGCCUCAAGUAUUUUCUAAAGGAAUUUUUUAGAAAUUCUGCCGUGGUGCCAAGGAGGAAGAAAAGAUACAUGGACAAUAGCUUAAGUCUCUCAAGUUGAAUACUACACUCUCUGAUAUGUGUGUUUUGUUAUUUUCAUAUGGUUGUGCUAAUAACAUCAAAAACAUUUCAAUUUUGCUCCCUAUAAGAAGUUGAUCUCUCUAGGUUGGUUUAGUACUUUAGUUGUUUGUUUGACAAAGUAUAAUAUUUAGGCUUCCAAUCACUCUGAUGUAAACUUGAGAGCUUUGUCAGAUGUAUGUUGCGACAAAGUUAAUUUAUUGCUUUCUUUAACUUUUAGCUUUUCCUUUUGGUUAAAGUUUUUUAAUUAGCCACAGGAUGCAUAUACAAUGAAUUACUAUUGCAAACCUUUUUAACACUGAAUUGGUCUGGCAUUGUAUUAUAUUACCCUUGACGGGAAAAAUUUCACAAGGUUUAAAGUGCAUUUAGUUAUUUUUUAGUAAUUAUUUAAACAUUAGGUUUUGGGGCUUACUGAAGAGUUAUUUUGCAGGUACUUUAAGAUUUUCUCCUAUUAUUUCUGAGAACAUCUGGUAUAUGUUUUCAGAAAUAUUUCCUUUAAUGAUUUAGGCGUUACAAUUAUUUUGUCAGACACAAAGAUAUAGGUUAGUAAUCUAAAUAAAGGGGAAGGUCUACUGCUUCAUGGGUUUGUUUAUUUUGCAUUCCUUCUUCUGUUCUUCACUGGAUCACAAGAUGUCAUGGUUUUUAUAUUUUUGUUAACUUGGUGUAGUGUAAAAGUCAAUCCCCCACUUCCUGUUCUGAACUAAUUUGUGUUUUUUAUGGAUGACAGUAAGUAUCAGAUUUCAUCAAUCAUUCUGCUGAGCUUUUACAAAGAAGAACAUCCUCUGAUGCAGACAAAGCAUUAGAACAUAUUAAUGAGGCGUUGAUGAUGA
rnacentral:lncRNA from 1 species